rnacentral:rRNA from 1 species
UGGGGAAUAUUGGACAAUGGGCGAAAGCCUGAUCCAGCAAUGCCGCGUGAGUGAUGAAGGCCUUAGGGUUGUAAAGCUCUUUUACCAGGGAUGAUAAUGACAGUACCUGGAGAAUAAGCUCCGGCUAACUCCGUGCCAGCAGCCGCGGUAAUACGGAGGGAGCUAGCGUUGUUCGGAAUUACUGGGCGUAAAGCGUACGUAGGCGGUGACUCAAGUCAGAGGUGAAAGCCUGGAGCUCAACUCCAGAACUGCCUUUGAAACUAGGUCGCUAGAAUCACGGAGAGGUGAGUGGAAUUCCGAGUGUAGAGGUGAAAUUCGUAGAUAUUCGCAGGAACACCAGUGGCGAAGGCGACUCGCUGGACUUGUGGUGACGCUGAGAUGCGAAAGCGUGGGGAGCAAACAGGAUUAGAUACCCCCGUAGUCCCUGAGCGGGCUGGCAAGGCGCAU